AACUUGAUACAGAGUAACAGUAAAUCAGACAGAGCAGCUCCUACAGCACCAGCAGUGAAAUUGUAACCCCGUUGCAAGUAUUUUUGGCCGCUGAUAGGACCGAGUGAGAUCACUGCGGUCUCUUUUCUCGGAUAGACUCAAGAGUUGUUCGGCAAGAGCAACGUAGGGACCGUUUUCAGUCUCAUUUCUGCUAUAUCUCAAUAUUAUAUCACACUGGAAAUGUCCGAAAACAAGCCGAAUGAUGAACCGAAGUUAUCUACGACGGACAGAGUGGUGAAAUCUGUCCCGUUCCCUCCCAGUCACCGACUGACGGCUAAAGAGGUGUUUGACAGCGAUGGGAAGCCCAAAGUGGACGUGCUGAAAGCACACCUAACCAAGGAAGGCCGCGUGGAGGAAGCGGUGGCCCUGAGGCUCAUAGGAGAGGGCGCCACAAUCUUGCGUGCAGAGAAGAACCUGCUGGACAUCGAGGCCCCUGUGACAGUGUGUGGAGACAUCCAUGGGCAGUUCUUUGACCUGAUGAAGCUGUUUGAAGUCGGAGGAUCACCAGCAUCCACUCGCUACCUUUUCCUGGGGGACUACGUUGACAGAGGGUACUUCAGUAUUGAAUGUGUGCUGUACUUGUGGGCCUUAAAGAUCCUUUACCCCAAAACACUGUUUUUGCUGCGUGGGAAUCAUGAAUGUAGACAUUUAACAGAGUAUUUCACAUUUAAGCAGGAAUGUAGAAUUAAGUAUUCAGAGAGGGUGUAUGACGCAUGUAUGGACGCCUUCGACUGCCUUCCCCUGGCUGCACUUAUGAACCAGCAGUUCCUGUGUGUACACGGAGGACUGUCUCCAGAAAUCACAAAUCUUGACGACAUCAGGAAACUAGACAGAUUCAAAGAGCCCCCAGCUUACGGACCGAUGUGCGAUCUGCUGUGGUCCGACCCCCUGGAGGACUUUGGGAACGAGAAGAGCCAAGAGCAUUUCACACACAACACAGUGCGAGGCUGUUCCUACUUCUACAGCUACCCUGCAGUCUGUGACUUUCUACAACACAAUAACUUAUUAUCUGUCAUCCGGGCCCAUGAAGCGCAGGAUGCUGGAUACCGCAUGUACAGAAAGAGUCAGACCACUGGCUUCCCGUCCCUCAUCACCAUCUUCUCUGCACCCAACUACCUAGAUGUCUACAACAACAAAGCGGCAGUGCUGAAGUACGAGAACAACGUGAUGAACAUCCGACAGUUCAACUGCUCACCUCACCCUUACUGGCUGCCCAACUUCAUGGACGUUUUCACCUGGUCCCUGCCCUUCGUUGGGGAGAAGGUGACUGAGAUGCUAGUGAACGUGUUGAGCAUCUGCUCCAAUGAUGAGCUGACGACUGACGAGGAGCUGGACGGACAGCUAAUAUACCCCCCCAAAAAAGGUGCCACAGCUUCUGCCCGUAAGGAGGUCAUCCGCAACAAGAUCCGUGCCAUUGGCAAGAUGGCCAGGGUAUUUUCUGUGCUCAGAGAGGAGAGUGAGAGCGUGCUGACGCUGAAGGGACUGACACCAACUGGCAUGCUACCAAGCGGAGUGUUGUCCGGUGGCAAAGAAAAGCUGCAGAAUGGUAUAAUCGGUUGUGCAAGUAUUCUGUUGUGUUAUUUUUUUCUUUUUUUCCUUUUAUUUGUGAGACAAGUUUAGAGUUCAGUCCACCCUCUUAUGUUGAAUUCCAAACACUCCCUAAAUAAGUUUGACAAGCAGCUGCAGCGUGGAAGUAAAGGCUUUCUGGACCAAAAAAAAAACCGCCUUUACAAACACAUUUCAAAUUUACUUGGGACUCCUGACAGUAAUGGUCAUUUUUUUUUUAUUGUCCAAAUUUGAGUGCUAGUGUUGUGGAUCUCCGCAGCGCUCCGCCGGGAUAGACGCAGGACUCUGCGAUUCAAAGGAUGAAUUGGAAUUGACACAAGCAACUGUGAAUGAAAGGGGGAUAGCAGCUGUCUGCCUUUCCUUUACAAAAUAAAGCAGAAAUCCAAACAACCCUCUCCUCUCACAGGUUCUCACACAUCAGCUGGCACUUUCCUAAAUACGCAUUUAUCACUUUAUAAGAAUAGGUACGUCUUUACUUCAAAGCCAGCGUGGUUAACAUUUGCUAAAACUACAAACCAGGGUAAAAUGGUAAAAGCUAAAAUCAGACUAUUUUUUACAGUAUGUCGUAAUCUAGCAUGCACUAGAAUCACAAGUUGUGUAAAGUUUGCUAACAUACGCCACUGGGAGCUUCUCAAGUAGCAGCAAAACCCCUAACUUUGAUGGAAUUGAGCGAGUGUAUUUUUAUCACUAAUGAACUCAAAGUUUUUAUUUCUAACAUGAAAGAAUGUGUCAUUUUUUCAUUUCAAAAGUUCCAUAGUUUCACUUUAAAGGCCACUCGGCUUAAGCUUUAACAUAUGACAUUCGCGUGAUUUUGUUAGAUGCAGUUGGCCGAUAGAAUGACAGGGAAUUCUAAGCUGCAGGCAGCAGAAGAAAUUCUCGUUGUUUCCACAAAUCAUGUAACCGAAACUAAACUAGGGCCCGUUUGUAACUGCGUUCUGAGUUUUGAUUUGUGACCUCCUGUGGGAGGGGAAGUGGCCAAAUUGGAACAAAAUAAAAUCUGGACAAAGGGAAUAAUUAGGGAGGAUGGGAUGCUCUCCUCUAUUUCAGCCCCACUGAUUUAUGCUGAAAAGACUGGGACUACUUUAGCCUUAUUUUUUUACAUUCAGUAAGAAAGCUACGGCUCUAACUCUAAAUUCAUAGGUGGAGCAUAUCCAAUAAAAAUGUGUAGUAGACACGGAAAAAUAAAUAGCAACCUUAUUAAAUGGCUUUUAGCUCAACAUUUGCUGUAUUUCUGGACUUCUAUAAGGGGUUUGAAACCACUAAACACACUAGCACCUCGAAAAUUGUGUUCCUGCUGAUGACCUGCUUAACAAUGGUGGUCCUAAGGGGGAGGAUAUGAAAGUUAAAAGUUAGAGUAUUUGUUUUGAUGCUUAUUUGGAAGCAGCUGACACUUAAGAGAACCCCCGUGAAGGUAGAGUGAUGUUCAGAGAUUCCUGUUGCAACAUUGGUAGAAUCACAUUGCUCCCCUCCCUUUUUAAGCAGACGCCAGUGUGCUUCUACUGUAAUGUUGACUCCAUCCGCCAUUCCGUUUACAGUGUGUUGCUCUCGUGCCUUUUUUGUAAUUUGUUCUCAUCCCCAUGGUAGUACUGUAUGUCCUGUAGCCUUCAGUACUGUACUGUACAGCCGUUACUUUGCUGUCACCUUCUGCCUCAUCCCUGUCGUCUGUGUAAAGCUGAUUUUACACACUUGUACUGUAUGUGAAUUUGUAAGCUCAAGGAUGACUGUAAGAAAUUGGUAAGUGGUUAAAACGCCAAAAGGUUUUUUUUUUUUUUUUUUCCUCCUCCCUCGCACUUCACAAAAGUAAGCCAGCAUUUUUGAUAUUUCAUAUCAAAAGAUGCGAUAUCCCGCAGUUCCAGAUGCUGCUUCAUGUUGCACACAACACAACAGUAACGCUGCUCCAUGUGUCUACAGCGCUUGGAUUCUACAUUAACAGUUAAAGCCACAGCCAUAAACCCCCACAAUCACACAUGCACUUAAACCUUAUUCCUGUUUUCCAUUCGUCCUAUUUCAGCUCUCCCUUCUAUAUGUAUGCUCUUAUUUGCAUAAUAGUACAGAACUAAUAUACUUCCAGCUUUAACGUGUUGUUUUUUUGUGCCAUCAAUGUCCGUCCCUGCAGUAUUCAUUUUUUUUUUUUUUUUACUCUCACCACAUUGAUCCGUUUGUCAGACCAUGUCAGACUUUUUCAAAGCACCUCAAGGACGCAAUCCUCUCCACGAGGUCAUUCGCUGCCACAAACGUGUCACCUUCCCUUUACAGAUCUGGAACUCAUCACAAAGCUAAGGCUCACCCCUCUCCUCUCCCUCCUCCUUUUCCCCUCUUCGCUAACAUCCAUGUGUCCUUUGUCACAAAAUGUGGAGAUGACGUUAACCUUUUGUUGUCGGCAUUGGCUGUCUUUGCUGCUUAUUGAGUUGUUCCUAGGACAAACUGAACUCCUCUGCUCACUUCUCUCAUUCGUUUUGCAACCCCCCUCUUCUCUUCAGCUACUAUUGAAGCUAUUGAGGCUGACGAAGCCAUCAAAGGCUUCUCGCCCCAGCACAAGAUCACCAGCUUCGCCGAGGCGAAGGGUCUGGAUCGCAUCAACGAGAGGAUGCCGCCGCGGCGAGACGCCUUGCCCUCCGACGCCAGCC